UCACUUACCUGGUAGGGAAGAUACCAUGAUCACUAAGGUGGUUUUUUCCAGGGUGAGGCUCACCCAUUGCCUUUGGGGUGUGCUGACCCUGGAAUUUCCCGAAAUGCAGGAAAUUUGUGGUAGUGGGGGAGCUGCAUUCCCACACUUCCAUA
ensembl:snRNA LOC120094948 U1 spliceosomal RNA